ACGCUCGACACCUACGGCAGGCAGCAGUGGGGAAUAUUGCACAAUGGGGGAAACCCUGAUGCAGCGACGCCGCGUGAGCGAAGAAGUAUUUCGGUAUGUAAAGCUCUAUCAGCAGGGAAGAAACUGACGGUACCUGACUAAGAAGCACCGGCUAAAUACGUGCCAACAGCCGCGGUAAUCUGAGCGGGCUGGCAAGGC
rnacentral:rRNA from 1 species